GGCAGCGGAAUCCUGAUGCUGCUUCUGAGGGGAGCUCAGAGGAACCCGCAGCAAGGGAGCUUGGAAGAGUACAACCGAGGCAGUGAUCUUUAGCCUCUGUUAAACUUGAUCCCCGAGUCUCAACACUGAAUUCUAUUCUCACGGAUGUUACUACAUAGCUUUGGCAGUCCGAGCCUCACCUCUGCCUCCGGCACUUGGGAUUGCAGCAGGCAUGAACCUCGACCCAUGGGUGGAGAUGAAGCGGUCAGUAUCGAAAUAUUACA